CACUGUCUCAAGUAAAAAUUUUAUGAAAUUAAGAUAAUAGUUAAGACGCUAUUUCAAACUGUAAGACGAAAAGACCCUAUAGAGCUUAACUAUAAACUUUUUUGAUAAAGAUCAUCAAAAAAUGAUUAUAAAAGAAAGUUAGGUAGUUUAGUUGGGGCGACUGUCUUCUAAAAAGAACGAAGACUAGCAAAGUUAAUAAAAAUAACUUAUUGUUUAAUAAAUUUAUUUAACAAUUACAAAAGUAGGCUAUAAUGACCCAUUGAACUUAAGAAAGUAAAUCAAUGAUUAAAAAAUAAAAGCUACCUUAGGGAUAACAGGAUAAUUUUGUUUUAGAGAUCAUAUCGAAGACAAAGUUUGUCACCUCUAUGUUGAAUUGAGAUAUCCUGAUAAUGCAGAAGUUAUCAAAGGUAGGUCUGUUCGACCUUUAAAAUC
rnacentral:rRNA from 1 species